AGUCAGUCAGCAGCAGGCCAUCAGCAUCAGCGGCGGAUCCUCGCUUUUUCCUUCAAUGAAAAUGGCUGUGGGUUUUUUGGUCCAAGCAUCAUCUUCUGCUGCUUCUGCUUCUGGCUACAGGAAGCCCACGCAUGUGACCCAGGAAACCAUGGCAACCACCUAUCCAGGGAUUGCGCACGAGCAGCAGCAGAAUCCGGCAGCCGGUCGCAAAAUACAAAUGAGAGACACCCUCGGCUUUCAUCAGUCACACACCGAUUUUCACUGAGAGAGAUGAGACCGAGAGGACAGAGCCUGGGUCCAUGUUAUUGGCAACAUUUCACACAUUUUAAACUCAAAUCACAAGUUGGGGAUAAAACCUCCUCACUGACAUGAUGAAUGGUAAAGAAAAAAAGAAAAAAGACUGUCCUUAAAGGUAAAGUAUACAUGAAUUAGGUCAUAUUUCUAAAAUUGUGGAGAGCUACCUGGGAACAAAGAGUUAUUUCCUCGCUUUGUUUGGUUUUGGGACAACGUGAAGCAUCAUUGGUGAGUAUUGUCACUACUCUGAAAUAAGUAAAACCAGUAUUGCACCAAAACGUAAGAAAUCUGAUAUAUUAGAAUCAAUUGUGCCACUGAACGUCUACUGCAUAUUUGAACUUGUCUGCCAAUUCAGAGUCUAAAAAGUGACACACUGAAAGUUAUCUUUUUGUGCCAUCCAUAUUUUCAAAAAGAGUGACUGUGCCACCUGCUGGACAUGGCAUGGUAUUUUACAACCUUGUUACAUUACAUUAUAUUUUGUCUCUACAUGAUCAGUUCUGAUUAAUGUCUGGUCUGCGUAUACACCAGAUCGAUAAACACCUACAACCUUAUCAAAGUGUUGCUCUAUAAAGAAACAUGCAUUAGAUCAUCAGUUAUACCCUGUGGCAUUUAUAUGUGAUAUUACACAAGAAAUAUAAUGUGAAACCUCACUUUGGCUGGUGGCAAUUUUUAUUAUUCCGUGAACUAUGCAACCAUAGAAUGACUUGAAUUAAAAACAGUUAUAGGUAUAUUUUAAGAUGCCUGUAUCACACAUUUUGGACAUUUUAAAUAGUACAAAAAUAUCAUACUUUGUUGCAAAAACCUUUGCAAACAUUCUAAGUUUAACAGCAGUAGCUCCCACUGAACAGUAGAUACUAAGUCGAUACAAUAUAUCAGAUUUCAGAGGUGAUACCAAGCCACAUAGAUGCUGCUGAUGUGGUUGAUGCAACAACCAUGCAGUACACAUUGUAUUCAUGAUUACCUGUGACAACAAUGACCCUAACAAUUCCCAGAUGCAUAUAGGGUUAGUUUUGAUGAUAGUUUCUUUUAUCAUUUUUUAAAGUGAUGGCAAGUUAACAUGAUCUGUUAACACAAUAUAUCUGAUUCUGCAAAGGUGUAAAGCUGAAGUGCAACAAGAAAACAUACCACAGUAAAAUAUAAAAUAAAACUUUGUCCUGUUUUUCUUCCACAAUUAUAGCUUUUCUCUUCCUGCUCUUGUGUAGUUACGUAGCCGCUGCAGAUAGACGUACAGCAGUGGUCCAGCUGCCCGGCUGGACAGCCCAUGGUACCAUCAGAAAUAAUGAACCACCUGAACCCAACAUUAAGGCUGAAUGUGUCUGUUGUCAGGGUAACACAGGUGCAUGUAGUGGUGGACUGACGUGGUGCAAACAUGUCUAUCCUAACUUGGCGUUGAUUAUUGUGACAAAUGAUAAUUGAAGUUUGAAGAAGUACUGGAGCAGAUUUAGAUGUAAUUUCAAUCGCUUGUUUAUGAAUGGUUUUUAUAUACAAUAACCCCUGGCAAAAAGACGUGUAGGAUAUGCAAUGAUUUAAAUAUAAGAGAAUAUUUCAAAGCAAUCAUUUCCACAGAAUAAACCCAUAACCAAGAAACCGCUUCCUUCCUGUGUAAGAUUUUACAGCCUAUUACCCUCAGCAUUUUAUUGAUUUUGCAAUCUGAAAACAAUGAUUUGAUCUCUAGGGUUUGUGAUCAUCUGAUGUUGCUUUUGAUUGACAGCAACGUUGCUUGCUCUGGCUUUACUUCUUAAAACAUGUCAUCUGCACUUCCAAUCAGGUUGUUCACCUACAGCGCAUUUCACACACAAAAAAGAAAAAACUGUUGCUCCUUUUUCCAGGAGAUAUUUAUUCGAUCAAGAGACAGGAUCGCAUCUUUCCAUAAACAAGUCAGUUAAAUAUUAACAAAUUUACAGUCAUGAGGAAUGUAAAAUAAAAAAAACAAACAAACAAACAACGCCCUCCCUUAAAAAACCCAAACCUCAAGGACCCCUCCCAGGAUAACGACCACAAUGGCACUGGAGAAACUGUCCAGCUCCAUUGUUAAAGCGCUCUUCCAUUCAGUGCUUCACAGUUCAUCUUUGUCAGAUUUUGUCUGCAGAGGAACAAAAUCAAAGUGAUGAGUAAAUAUUCCAGAAUAUGAAUUCUUUACAUCGUCAACAUGGCACAAUUCUAGUUAAGUGCUCUCACCGUUUCUUCAUCGUCAUCGUCGUCUACGAUUUCAUCUUUAUCUUCAGAGUCGUCCUCCGCUGGCUCCUCCUCUGGCUCCUCCUCUGGCUCCUCCUCUGGCUCCUCCUCUGGUUCUUCUUCAACCUGUAGAACAAUGACAUGAUUUUAAUCACAAGUAACACUAAACAGACAAACCUAUUAUUACACUUCUGGGCGAAAUAAAGAAGAUGGGGUUUGCAUAAGACAAAGGGAAAGUAGACACUGCUUAAUAAAAUCAAACAAGGGUGUGUUCACUGGCUCUGGAGGAGAUGACUUGAAACUGAAACUAGAAACCAUUUGCUAUGCAUAUGCAAAGUAACCCAGUAUGUUGCAGCUGGCAUUGACUUGCCUGUUCAUCCAGAGGUACAUUCAUGCUGAGUCGAAGCAUGCGCUCUAUCCUGUCUCCGUAAGACUUUGUGUCCACCAGCUGGUAGCCUGAGCGCAGCGUGGCCGUCUCAAACAGAACCACGGCCAGAUCUGAUGCAGUCUGGUCCUCAGCGUCAUCCUGAGGGACAAAUGGAAAUUAAUUAUUGAUUCUCUGCAUGGAUAGGAAGAUUUUUAUUCAGAUUAUUCAACUACCAUGUUCCCAUAUGAGAUGGGCAGUGUAUUUUAUUGUAUUGCUUGAUGAGAAACCUUACCCACAUUAUUUUCUAAAUCACAUUAUAUGGCACAAUCAAAAUGGUUAAAUUAUAGUGGUGAAACUUACAUUGACUCUGUUGAGCAUCUGCUUGAUGAGAGGGUGUUUAGGGUUGAUUUCUAAUGUUUUCUUCUGGCUGGCGUAAUAGCUGAGGAAGAGAGAGAGGAAUUACUAUACAAGCUUAAAAAGUCAAGCUGACCAAAAAAAUCUCAUAGAUUUAGAUUUCACAACUGUGAAAAUCAGCAUAUAUUGUUUGAAAGCAAAUAUCAUCAAUACUAACUUUGUGGAAAUGUCUUUUCCUGUCUGGUACGCUUGUGCCUUCAUGAUCCUCUCCAUGUUUCCUGACCAGCCGUACUGACUGGCAACCAGAGCGCAGGGUGAGUUGGUCAGCCUCUGAGAGAGGACGGCCUUCUCAAUCUGUAGGAAAGAAGCCAGGAUAUGAAAUAAUGUGGCUUUUGGAACAGACGUAACCAAGCAACUGCAGCCAAACUAUCACUUCAGCGGCUGCUACUCAUUUACCCAUGGACUGAAUUUGAAUAACUGAAUCUCUACCUUGUCCUUCAGGGCCUUGUCCUUCAGCCAGGUAGUAAGAGGCUCGAAGCUCUUCUCCAGGGUCUCCCGCUUUUCCUUGGCCAUAUCGCUCUCGUCGAAUUUGAUGCCCUCCUUUGCCACGUUCUGGAAACGUUUUCCAUCAAACUCGGGCAGCGCCUGAACGCAGUACUCAUCCACAGGCUCAGUCAG